AUUGAACGCUGGCGGCAGGCCUAACACAUGCAAGUCGAACGAGUGGCGGACGGGUGAGUAAUGUCUGGGAAACUGCCUGAUGGAGGGGGAUAACUACUGGAAACGGUAGCUAAUACCGCAUACCAUCAGAUGUGCCCAGAUGGGAUUAGCUUGUUGGUGGGGUAACGGCUCACCAAGGCGACGAUCCCUGGCUGGUCUGAGAGGAUGACCAGCCAAACGGGAACUGAGACACGGUACAGACUCCUAGGGGAGGCAGCAGGGGGGAAUAUGGAACAAUGGGCGAAAGCCUGAGGCAGCCAUGCCGCGUGUAUGAAGAAGGCCUGCGGGUUGUAAAGUACUUUCAGCGGGGAGACGUUACCCGCAGAGGAAGCACCGCCUAACUCCGUGCCAGCAGCCGCGUAAUAC
rnacentral:rRNA from 1 species